CCGCAAACAGAAAGAACUGGCAGACGGCACUGGAAUAGAGGACGAUGACACUGAAGACCGAGAGGUCCCUCCCACUGGGUGUGAGGAUGUGGCAGAUAUUGGUAGUCCUGAUGUGAAAGCAGAGCUUCCCUCCCACCUCAGCAUCACUAAGGAUGUUAUGGAGCGCUGCAUUCAUCUGCUGUCUGAUCCCAGCCUCAGGCUCCGACUCAAGGUGCUGGACGUGCUGGAGUUGUGCGUUCAGGUGCUGAGUGAGAGGGAAAAUGAACUGCUGCCUAUGGCUCAUCGCUGCUGGCCAGCACUCCUGCAGAGACUCACAGCCGAUGACCCAUUAGCAGUCCUCAGAGCCUUCAGGCUGAAGCAGACCUAGAUGCU